CUUGCAGAUGCAUAUCAUAUCAAUCAGAACAAGACCCUCACUUCUACUCUCAACUUUAUUUCUGCUCCUACUGAUCCUGCCACCCACGAAGCAGGAAGAUAUGGUUCGUGCUAGUCCUAAACGAAUAUGCCAUCCAGGAGGCUAUAAGGGUUGUUCUCGCACAUGUCCGCCGAAGCAUACUUGUACCACUAUUCCCUGCGUUGUUCCUCGACCUUGCAAUCGUCACUCCACAACGACUUGAGCAGUUUGUCAAGAUUUGCAUUAGGCCCUGUUUGGAAUGAGUGUAUUUUUUGUUGUUGUCCAUUGGUAUUUAGUUCAAAUUCAAGCUAAAUACUAUCCCGCAAAAAAAAAUUCAAGCUAACUACUGGUGGCACACAAAUUUUACACCCAUUCCAAACAACCCCUUACUGGUAAAAUACAUCCUGGUCCGGCUUGUAAUUAUGGAUCAAUUAUUUAAAUCCAGGAAUGUACACAUGCAGCAUCAUAUUUGAUGGGAUUUUUAA